rnacentral:misc_RNA from 1 species
CAGAGUCUCAAUAGCACGCUAGUACCAUACGCAGAUUGAGUGCGUGUGUGACUUCCCUCAUUGGAGAAAUGUCGUCGGCACUCGUGGCUGCUAAAUAAACGACGAAACAUGUCCGGACCGAUAGUCAGUCGUGCGCAGACACCCGGCGGUGAUGUUCAAAUAGGUAUAACGGUGGGUUGUGUUGUCUGUAAUAGGACUGACAAGUUGUUAAGAUGUUCACGGUGCAAGGCCGUCUUUUAUUGUACUAAAGAACACCAGAAACGGGACUGGAAACGUCAUAAAGAAUUUUGUGCGAUUCAUUCUAUGGAAUCGAUCGUAUCAGAUACAGUUUCGGCUACUAGUCAAAAUUCCAUUCUAAAAUCUAAUAAGAAGGAAUCAUCUUUAAAGAACUGCCAGAUUUCAACUGCACCAGUGGUUUCUAACCUAAGCGAGAAAUCAGUGUUAGGAAGAACGCGAGGAUCAAACACUGUUCCAGAUGUACAUAAUAACGUGAAACAUCUUGAAGGAAUCAACAAACAGACAGAAAAAAUAAAAGGACAAUUAGAUCAUAAGGAAAGCCAAAAUUCCAAAAGAAAAUCUAAUAACAUUAAAACAAAAGGUACUCGUACUAAUAGAGUAGAUGGAUGGACUUCUCCAAUAACAUAUGAAGGAAGUUCUGAAGAUACAAUCUUAGGUGCCAGAACAGAAUCAUUGAAUCCUGCUUUACAAGAUUCAAGAAUUCUUGAUAAUUUACAAGACAAUGAAUUAGAUAUGCCUACUCAACAUCAUAACGGUAUGAAGAACUUUCCAGAGGUUCAUUUAACUCGUGAAGAAGAACUUCUACCACCUUUUCUCCAUAAAAAUAAAAAUAAUCUUGAAAAAUUAAUAGACGAUAUAAGCAGAAAUGUGAUUAGAGACAUGGAUGAAUAUGGUAUGUGUGUGGUAGAUAAUUUUCUAGGAACGGAAAAAGGUGGUGCAGUGUUAAAAGAAGUUUUAAAUAUGUACAGUGCUGGGUUAUUUAAGGAUGGACAAUUGGUUUCUAAUAAAGCAGGUGCAAAUGACUUAAAGACAAUUCGUGGUGAUCAAAUAACGUGGCUUGAUGGUAAAGAAAAACAAUGUCAAAAUAUUGGGAUGCUCAUAUCUCAAGUUGAUGCAGUUAUUAUGAGGGCAAAUAAAAUGUGUAAUAAUGGAAAAAUGGGAAAGUACACAAUCAAUGGAAGAACAAAGGCGGUCAAAAGAGAGAGAGAAGUGAUGGUAGGCAGAGAAGGUCAGGAUCCCGAAAUUGCAACGAUCUUUCGGCUCAGGCGCCAAACUAAGAACCAAAACGAGAGUGGUAACCCACGAAGUGCAGUCGGUCACGUACGCCGUAUAGCUGGCGCGCUGUUAGUUAUCUUUUUUUCCUUGUCUUUCACUGACUCUCCCUUUCGUCUCUUAUACCAGAAAGUAGGCAGCAUGCGAUGGUGGCUUGUUAUCCUGGUCACGGUUCGCAUUACGUGAAACACGUGGAUAAUCCUAAUCGAGAUGGACGAUGCAUCACAGCUAUAUAUUAUCUUAAUCAAAAUUGGGAUAUCAAGAAAAACGGUGGUCUCUUGAGGAUAUUUCCAGAAGGCUGGCGUGAUCAAGUAGCAGAUAUUGAACCUCUUUUUGAUAGAAUACUGUUCUUUUGGUCAGACAGAAGAAAUCCGCAUGAGGUUCAACCAGCAUAUAAAACAAGAUAUGCAAUCACUCUAUGGUAUUUUGAUGCAGAAGAAAGAAAUCAAGCUUGUCGAAGAUAUCAAAAAGAAAAAGAAUUACAUGUGAAGAAUGAAAGUUCGUGAGACAUGGAGUCUGAAGGACCAUUACACCGUCCGUCGACUGAAAUUGUAACUCUAUUAGUUAAAGUAAUACACUUGUACAUAGUUAUACGAAGAAAGCACUGGUAUAUAAACUAUUAUGUAUUAUUCUGUAUUAUGAUAUAGUUGAGAUUGUAGGAGGUACGGACAUCGGAGUAUAUAAAAAUUUAAGGAUGUGCAAUAAAUAUAUAAGCGCGUUCUUUUUUUAUAUGAUGGCAUUGUAAUAUAUUUCGAUGAGUAAAUGCGCGUAGUCUUUAAAGUUCAUUAUUAUACAUAUUAAUCAUUAAUCUCUGUUUUUUCUAACACUCUAAUGCUCACACUGUAAUCGAACGUUUGUAAAAGUUUAGCAUUCGCUUGCCAUGAUUGUAAGUUUGUUCGUUAUAUCAAUAUGAUACUUAGCUUCAAUAUUUGAAGCAUUAAAAUUUUUUGCAGCAUUCGUAAUUCGUAUACGACUGCUAAAGUUAUAUAGUGUACAGAAAGGACGAAAGAGCAUAAAAUGUAUGUGUAGGAUGAGAGUGAAAGUUUGUAUGCUAAAGAAAGAGAUUGAUUUAAAUAAUGAAAUUAAUGUUUCUAUCUUAAAAUUUGCUAAACAAAAAUUCUGUCUUAUUAUUAAUUACAUAUGUUCCCUUUAACUUCUGUAUAGCUGAUAUUGUUAAUAACAAUUCAGCUUGUUAUUAAUAUGAAAUUGUAAUAUUUGUGAAUCGUACUAUUACGUUUUAUUAUUGCAUCUCAUAUAUUACGCGUUGUUCUAUAAAGUUAUAAUCCUUAUAUUGAUGUUUGAUUAAACGGCCAGUAAUUGACUUAUGCUUCCAGCGCAGUGAAUUGAGAUAUGCCGGGGCCCAGUCUGUACCUGUAAUAUUGUUAUGUACAUUGCGAAGAGGUAGAAACACGUGUUUAAUAUUGUAUGUAUCUAUUUAUAUAAAUCGAUAAGAAAAAAAAAAAAACACGAAAAAAAUGAAA